CGAGAUGUAGCUACAAACAUAAAGCAUUCAGCUUACACCUGAAAGAUAUCUGCCCCCACAGAUCAUCUCGA
rnacentral:tRNA from 1 species